AAGGGGAGUGAAAGAGAACUUGAAACCGUGUGCUUACAAGUAGUCAGAGCCCGUUAAUGGGUGAUGGCGUGCCUUUUGUAGAAUGAACCGGCGAGUUACGAUCUGAUGCAAGGUUAAGCAGAAAAUGUGGAGCCGUAGCGAAAGCGAGUCUGAAUAGGGCGAAUGAGUAUUUGGUCGUAGACCCGAAACCAGGUGAUCUACCCUUGGUCAGGUUGAAGUUCAGGUAACACUGAAUGGAGGACCGAACCGACUUACGUUGAAAAGUGAGCGGAUGAACUGAGGGUAGCGGAGAAAUUCCAAUCGAACUUGGAGAUAGCUGGUUCUCUCCGAAAUAGCUUUAGGGCUAGCCUCAAGUGAUGAUUAUUGGAGGUAGAGCACUGUUUGGACGAGGGGCCCCUCUCGGGUUACCGAAUUCAGACAAACUCCGAAUGCCAAAUAAUUUAACUUGGGAGUCAGAAUGUGGGUGAUAAGGUCCAUAUUCGAAAGGGAAACAGCCCAGACCACCAGCUAAGGUCCCAAAAUAUAUGUUAAGUGGAAAAGGAUGUGGCGUUGCCCAGACAACUAGGAUGUUGGCUUAGAAGCAGCCAUCAUUUAAAGAGUGCGUAAUAGCUCACUAGUCGAGUGACACUGCGCCGAAAAUGUACCGGGGCUAAACAUAUUACCGAAGCUGUGGAUUGUCCUUUGGACAAUGGUAGGAGAGCGUUCUAAGGGCGUUGAAGCAUGAUCGCAAGGACAUGUGGAGCGCUUAGAAGUGAGAAUGCCGGUGUGAGUAGCGAAAGACGGGUGAGAAUCCCGUCCACCGAUUGACUAAGGUUUCCAGAGGAAGGCUCGUCCGCUCUGGGUUAGUCGGGUCCUAAGCUGAGGCCGACAGGCGUAGGCGAUGGAUAACAGGUUGAUAUUCCUGUACCACCAUUAUUCGUUUUAAGCGAUGGGGGGACGCAGUAGGAUAGGCGAAGCGUGCUGUUGGAGUGCACGUCCAAGCAGUGAGAUUGAGUGUUAGGCAAAUCCGGCACUCUUAAGAUUGAGCUGUGAUGGGGAGAGGAACUUGUUCCUCGAGUCGUUGAUUUCACACUGCCGAGAAAAGCCUCUAGCUAGAAUAACGGUGCCCGUACCGCAAACCGACACAGGUAGUCAAGAUGAGAAUUCUAAGGUGAGCGAGCGAACUCUCGUUAAGGAACUCGGCAAAAUGACCCCGUAACUUCGGGAGAAGGGGUGCUCUUUGAGGUUCACGCUUCGAAGAGCCGCAGUGAAUAGGCCCAAGCGACUGUUUAUCAAAAACACAGGUCUCUGCUAAACCGUAAGGUGACGUAUAGGGGCUGACGCCUGCCCGGUGCUGGAAGGUUAAGAGGAGUGGUUAGCGCAAGCGAAGCUACGAAUCGAAGCCCCAGUAAACGGCGGCCGUAACUAUAACGGUCCUAAGGUAGCGAAAUUCCUUGUCGGGUAAGUUCCGACCCGCACGAAAGGCGUAACGAUUUGGGCACUGUCUCAACGAGAGACUCGGUGAAAUCAUAGUACCGGUGAAGAUGCCGGUUACCCGCGACAGGACGGAAAGACCCCGUGGAGCUUUACUGUAGCCUGAUAUUGAAAUUCGGUACAGUUUGUACAGGAUAGGUAGGAGCCUUAGAAGCGUGAGCGCUAGCUUACGUGGAGGCAUUGGUGGGAUACUACCCUAAUUGUAUUGGAUUUCUAACCCGCAGCACUUAUCGUGCUGGGAGACAGUGUCAGGCGGGCAGUUUGACUGGGGCGGUCGCCUCCUAAAGAGUAACGGAGGCGCUCAAAGGUUCCCUCAGAAUGGUUGGAAAUCAUUCAUAGAGUGUAAAGGCAUAAGGGAGCUUGACUGCGAGACCUACAAGUCGAGCAGGGUCGAAAGACGGACUUAGUGAUCCGGUGGUUCCGCAUGGAAGGGCCAUCGCUCAACGGAUAAAAGCUACCCCGGGGAUAACAGGCUUAUCUCCCCCAAGAGUUCACAUCGACGGGGAGGUUUGGCACCUCGAUGUCGGCUCAUCGCAUCCUGGGGCUGUAGUCGGUCCCAAGGGUUGGGCUGUUCGCCCAUUAAAGCGGUACGCGAGCUGGGUUCAGAACGUCGUGAGACAGUUCGGUCCCUAUCCGUCGUGGGCGUAGGAAAUUUGAGAGGAGCUGUCCUUAGUACGAGAGGACCGGGAUGGACAUACCUCUGGUGUACCAGUUGUCGUGCCAACGGCAUAGCUGGGUAGCUAUGUAUGGACGGGAUAAGUGCUGAAAGCAUCUAAGCAUGAAGCCCCCCUCGAGAUGAGAUUUCCCAACUUCGGUUAUAAG
rnacentral:rRNA from 1 species